GGGGCUCAAACUCAUGACCCCAAGAUCAAGAGUCACAUGUUUCACUGACUAAGCCAGGCCAGGAGUCUUAAAAGACAAUUUUUAAUGUAAAGUUUUCGUGUAAUGUCAGAUUGUUCUUAAACGUUUGCUAUUUAUAAUUCUGUAAACAUUUGUCCAUAUCAUUAUAUAUUUUUUGCAACAUGUUAAGUUUGAUGCAUAUUAUUCUGUUAUACAAGUAUUUUCUAAAAACAAAUCCCAUAUUAUUGAAUGAGGUUUGUGGUGUAGGAGUUAAGCAUAAGUUUUGGAUUGGGUAACUGAAUUGGAAUCACAACUCUCCUACUAACUUGUUAUAUGACCUUGGGAAGUUACUUAGUCUCUGAAUUUCAGUUUCUUCACCCGUAAAAUGAAUAGUGCUUAACUCCUAAGAUUGGGUCGAAGAGUAGGUGGAAUCCAAGGCUUUUGACAAAACUAGCUUUUAGAAGGUGGCAUGCUAUUAGCAGUGUGCAAGAGUGCUUGUUUCCCUGCACUGUCACCAACACAGGUGUUAUCCAGGUUGACAAUGCACUACCUCAUUUGAUUUAGUUUUUUAAAAUAAACUAAACUGCCUCCAUUACUAUAAUUAGAAACUUUAUUGUGUUUUAAUUAAUAUGCAGAAUAUUUUUAAUAUUAAAAAACUGAUUUUUAAAAUUCUAUUUUAAAAGUAUUUAUUAUAACUUUAUAAUAAAAAAGUUUAAUGCUUAAUGCUUCUUUUUAGAAGAUACUAGAUUAUACUUUGCUGCCUCAGUGUCUUCUUUCAUAAUAUAUCAUCAUGAAUUGCUGCUCUGAAAACCUGACUGUAUAACCUUAAGGGGAAUCGGAACAAUCUGUGUAGAAAUAACCUACUCGACAAUAAUCGGAGGUGUUCUGUUGGGUCGUUUUCUGUGUCUUCCUACAAGUCCGAGCGAUUGCACAUAAGGACAAGCUGAGUUAGAGGAGGAAUAAUAACAUCCAUUGAAGGGUCCAGUGUACAAGAGAGUUUGGAGGAAGCAUGAUCCUGAAGAAUUCUGUGGUCUGCUACCUAAAAGAGGUUUAGACACACUAGAUAAGUUCACCCUAGUAGAGGAAGUCCAGACUGACAUGAAAGUGAAAAUAUUUGAUACAACCCGAACCUACUAACGAUGUGAAGUCCAUCAUGGGGACAGCAAACCAUACCUGCACAUAUAAAGGCAUCUAUACCAGCAAGUAAGGCUACCUAUUUCCAUUUAUCAAAUUGAUUCAUCUAAUACAUACUGAAUAAAAGAGGGGCCAACAUCAACAAAAUUCUUGCCCAGUUGGAGCCUACAUUCUAAUGGAGGAUACAGACAAUAAAUAAACAAUGCAGUUUCAUACAAUGGUAACUUUUCUUGGUAAAAGCAAAUACUGGCUGAUUUUGGAAAAGUUUUUGGAAAGGUUAACCAACUGUCUCUGUGUAAACCCAACUGCCAAGUUCAUGUAUCCUUUACUACUGUAAGAUGUUUUUCCUGAGGUAUUCAAGUAAAACCUGCAGGGGUUUCUUAAGACCUGGCAUUUCAUCUGUUCCAUACCAGUUUUCUCAAAUUUUGUGGGAUAAUCACUUUACAGCCUCUGUGCCUAUGAUCCACCUCUAGCCUUAAUGCCAUGUUCUGGCCAACAUACCAGAAUAACCCACGACUAUUGAGUCUCGAGUUGACUCCAGAAUCUUUGUAUGAGAGUAUUUUAGGGAUGGUAGUUUCAUUAAAGUGUGGUUAGGAGACUUGUCUUAAAGCUCUGUUUGAAUAGCAAGAACACUGCCUAGAGUAAUGCUUGGGAGGUAAGUACCUGGUAGGUACUCAACAGGUAUUUUUAAAUAAAUUAAUGAUUAUUUUUAUCAUUGCCAUAAAAUCGUGAUUGAGAAACUUAAGCCUACUGUUGGAUGUUCAAAAAAAAAGGUUGGAUAGUCAGCAAAACUAGAUGAGCAGCACUCAUCAUAGCAUUUUUCUUGAUGUACUUUUCUUCUUUCUAGAUAUACCACAUAUCAAAGAAGCCCCACAACCAAACUUACAUUGGCUAAGAAGAUUGGGAUAUCACUAUGACAACAUUUCCAGGAGAAGAAAGGGUUACGAUACAGAGGAAAUCUGGUUUCAGAACAAUGGGGGAACUAAUAAUAUAGAAUACUGGUUAAAAGUAUGGGUUCUGGAGUCAGACAAGUCUGAGUUUUAAUCCUGCCUGCCACUUGUUAGCUGGGUAACCCUGGACUACCAGCCAGUUGCUCUAAUUUGCAGUUUCAGCAACUACAAAAUAAGGAAUGUAAUGUCUUCCUCAUAGCAUAUAGAUGAAAUGAACUAAUAAGGUAAAGCAUCUGCACAGUGCCUGCUGCCAAAGUGUUCAAUAAAUGCUAGCAGUUAAUAUUAUCAAACGGAUGUUAUUAUAUAUUCCCAGAUAUUCUAUAAUGGAAAUACAGAGAUUUUAAGUUUUAAUGGCAUUUAAGAUUACAGUAUGGUUAUAGUGUACUAAAGAAUACUUUUUACAAUGAGAACAAAUUGCCACAUGAUUUACUUCCUAUUUUUACUUUUGGUUUCCACUGAUGAAUUAUUAUACAUUUCUGCAAAUUUCAAGUAUUACUGCCUAAGCCUUUUAUUUAUAAAAAGUAUUAAUUUAUUUAUUAAUACAUAUAUAUAUAUAAUUUUGGAUAAUGCAUAAAUAUGAACACCUACAUCUUUAGUAGUGACUAUUUUUAAAAAUCUCAUAUCUCUUCUCCCACUUUGGUUUCUUUUAUACCCAUUUCCUUGAUAACCCAUGUCAACAGCCUAAUAUGUAUCCAUCCAUUUUCUAAUUUAUUUUGUUGGUUUGUUUUUUACUUUAGAAAGAUAGAAAGAGAGAGAGAGAGAGAGCACCAGUGGGGGACAGGGGCAGAGGGAGAGAGAGAGAGAAUCUUCAACAGGCUCCACAAACUGCAAUGCUCAACACGGGGCUCAGUCCCACAACCCUUGGAUGAUAACCUGAGAUGAAAUCAAGAGUUGGACACUCGACCAAGAGAACCAGCCAGGCGCUCCACUCUUCAUUUAUAAUUCUAUGGAGACUUAUUCGUAAUAUAUUUAUAUACAUAUAAAAAUACGGUGUUAUUUUGAUCAUCAACUUUAAAAAUGGGACCAUGUUCUCAAGCGUGUUACUUUUCUCACCCAACAAUAUCCAGAGGAAAGAUCUUCAAUUCAUUUGAGUUUAAUAGUACAAUAUUCCAUAAUUUAGAUGUAACAUUAUCUAUGUAGCAUUUCCUCAAUUAUUGAGCGUUCCUUUUGUUUCCAUUUUUUGGCACUACAAAUUAGGCUACAAUAAACAUCCUUAUAUAUCUUUA